rnacentral:rRNA from 1 species
UACAGAGGUGGCAAGCGUUGUUCGGAAUUACUGGGCGUAAAGGGCUCGUAGGUGGCCAACUAAGUCAGACGUGAAAUCCCUCGGCUUAACCGGGGAACUGCGUCUGAUACUGGAUGGCUUGAGUUUGGGAGAGGGACGCGGAAUUCCAGGUGUAGCGGUGAAAUGUGUAGAUAUCUGGAGGAACACCGGUGGCGAAGGCGGCGUCCUGGACCAACACUGACACUGAGGAGCGAAAGCCAGGGGAGCAAACGGG